rnacentral:rRNA from 1 species
UACAGAGGGGGCAAGCGUUUAUUCGGAAUUAUUGGGCGUAAAGGGCGCGUAGGCGGCUUUGCAAGUGGCGGGUGAAAUCCCUCGGCUUAACCGAGGAACUGCCUGCCAGACUGUGAGGCUUGAGACCGGGAGAGGUGAGUGGAAUUCCCAGUGUAGCGGUGAAAUGCGUAGAUAUUGGGAGGAACACCAGUGGCGAAGGCGGCUCACUGGACCGGAACUGACGCUGAGGCGCGAAAGCGUGGGGAGCAAACAGG